UACGAAGGGGGCUAGCGUUGUUCGGAAUUACUGGGCGUAAAGGGCGCGUAGGCGGCGUGUCAAGUCAGGCGUGAAAGCCCCGGGCUCAACCUGGGAACCGCGCUUGAGACUGGAGAACUAGAGUUCGGGAGAGGAUGGUGGAAUUCCCAGUGUAGAGGUGAAAUUCGUAGAUAUUGGGAAGAACACCGAUGGCGAAGGCAGCCAUCUGGACCGACACUGACGCUGAGGCGCGAAAGCGUGGGGAGCAAACAGG
rnacentral:rRNA from 1 species